CCACAGAUGGUGAGGAAUUCUAGUCAUGAUGGUACAUUCGAUACUGAUUCUGGAGGCAAAGCAGAUUUGAGUUUUCAGCAUGCCAAUUAGUCACACUUGACAUAUUUGACAAUCAAUCUUUAGCUGGAGAUGACAGUGUUGCUUCACUGAUGGCCUCAGGAGAAAUACUUGACAAUUUUUCUGAAGACCCUGAAUUCUAUGUAACAUAAAUACCCCAAGUUUGAGAGACCACAUAUGGAGGGUCAGGAGCUGGUGGGGAAUUCAAAUAAUCAGAGACCCAGGACUGGUAUGUAUUCCCUCCUUGUUGGGAUUGGUAGAAAAAGGGAAGGACAUGAGAGCUGGCUUAGGGAAGAAUUGUGUCUACCCAGAAAAUGUCCUGAAACUCGGCCAUACGCAAGAAUAGUGGAUCAGUUUGUGUCAUACUACACAGCACUCAUUGGUUGUGAGACGGAAGUUAAGUUAUGCGACUUUGCUAAGCUUCAGAUUUUCAUCUAAUGGUAGUAGUGUCCACACAGUCCCUGUCCAAUUCAUAGGAUUUCUUUGAGAAACAGAUGAGGAAUAGAAUCUGAAAGCACUUCAGUCGGAAACCAAAGAGUAAACAUGCACAAGUACUUACCCUCUCUUAGGUCUCGUUCUAUCUUGGGUGAUGACUUCUUUCCCAUUGAUAAUCCAUGAACUUCUGCACCUUCCACAUUUACUCCUGAAGGGACUCUGCCCAAUCAAAAAGUUGCAGUG